UCCGUGUGCUCGGAGGUGCCCUCCCGGUUCCCUGUUCGCGGUGGUCUCUGAGCCGGUACUUAAGUUACGUGCGUGAAAUCAGUGGCUUUAAAAACCUUAUUCACUAAUAACAUCUUCCUGUUACAUCAAUGGAACUUCCUUGUCAGGAUGUGCGUGCUUCCAGAAGUCAAUAUAUAUCUUUUUGCCUUUAAAAUUGCUUCUCGCCCGCUUUGAAUAGUGACACAAAUCCUGUCUUUCCACUUAGCAUCGCAUGUUAAACAGAAAUACUGCAACUAGAUCUUGAGUGGGGUGUUCUUUGCUGACAUCAUUUAAUGAACUUAGAUCGAAUAAAUUAGUUUCACUUCUGUUUAGCGUGUUUCAUUUUCCUGUUUUCAUAAGGCCCAUAUGGGGUUUUCCAUGUGCCACUGUAAUACUUGUCUUAAAAUUGCUUCCUCUCAAGUUUGAAAUCACCAGAUUUCUCUUGAAGAUAUAACAAAAAUAUCUUGCAGUUCUUUUCUAAUAGAUAGGUCUCUAUUAAUGACAUGUUUCAACUUUUAAGAAUAACCAUUGCAAUGCAGAUAUCUUGUGGUAAUCAAGAUUAUGAAUGCAGGCUGCAAAAUGCAGUGGAUGCUGUGCUGAGAACUGUGCUUUACAGAUCUGUGUUUGAGCGUAACCUGAUGGUGAGGUGUUGGAACACUUGAUUAAAAUACACAAAAAAUAUAGCAGAGCCUUCUUCCCCCUCCUGUGUCACGUUGUUCUGGCGGCCAUGCUUUCCCAAUAAUCCUCUCAAGCUGCUGACUUUUCAGUUUGUGUUUGGCUGGAGGAACAAGGCAAGUGUUCUGUUGUGCAGCUUCGUGGAUUAGUUGUCUGAGCGGUCAUGGAGAGAUAUGUGUGGAAAGGGGCUCGGACUGUGGUGGUGAAGCCCAAAGCUAGUCCUGUGCACAGCUUUUCUUUUGCAGCCAGUGGUCUUUGUGAUAAGCUGCCAUUAACCAUCAUCUGCUAGCCACAUGGUGUCUUUUGGAUUGCUUCCUACUACUGCAGGGAUUUCUGAAAGCUGUCUCUUCAGUGCUGGAAGUGUGAAGCGGUACACAGCCAGGUGGAUGUGGGUAGGGGCAUCGGUGUCUUGUGGCUGUAGUGUGGGCAUUUGACAAGCGCUGCCGUUCAGCUACUCGUGGGAUCCUGCGUGUUUAACUGCUGCUGAGGAGAUUGGGGUGGAGAAUAAAUCAGUUGUGACUUACAAACAUGUUGCAGUAAGUGAACUUUGCAGUAAACCCCCAGUUCAGUCUGAGAGAACCUUCAGGUACAGACCAGCAUCUUACACUGAGCCUCAGAGCCUUGUCUGGCUGUAAAUCAUGGGCUGCCUUACCAGCAGUGGUCUGGGUUUUCUUCUUGUAUUGGUAAAUGAUGGAGAUUCUCCUGAUAAAGAGUACAACAUAGUGUCCAGUUACUGGUGGUGGUGGUGGCACUGCAAUGCAGUUUGUACUGUUCCCUCUUGACACUGCACUGAAGGCAUUGCCCAGCACAUACAAAUAGAGCCACCACAUACAAAUAACAGCACCUUGUUCUCCAUCAUUGUUCACUUCGCUGUGGGCAAGUAGCUUAGUAGUGUUUUUACUCAGAUGUAAAAUAGAUUUUGCUAAUACUUGUUUCGUGGAACCUUAAUUUAUUCAUAGUUGCUGAUAAUAACCACUUGAAUAUGUUUGAUACCAUGAGUUCAGCAAAAGAGCUUAAACAGAGGCUGAGGAUGGAAAAUGAGGCUGUGUUUAAAAUCAGCUACUGACCCAGAGGAAGAAAUGGUAACAAAUGUCUAUGGAACUUAAGGAAGUCAUAGGGCUGGUGCUGGGAAUCAGACAAGAAAGCCUGAGACCUGUAUCUACUAAACAGGUAGAAAUUAUUAACAGGAGAAAAAAACAGCCCUCACCUGGAAGAAAUGUUAUGAUGCAAGGUCCAGCAGUAUCAGUUGCCCCCCAGCAGUGGGAUGGGGAACAGAAUCAGGAAGAAGGUAAAACCCAUGUUUUGAUAUAAGAACAGUUUAAUAAUUAAAAUAUAAUAUACUACUGCUAACUACAAUAAUAAUAAUGAAAAGGGAAAUAACAGAGAGAAACAAAAAACCCAGCCAACUAACAAACAACAGUGAAGCACAGUACAGUUCCUCACACCUGCUGACUGAUGCCCAGCCUGUCCCUGAGCAGUGAUCAGCCCCUCCUGGCUAACUCCCCCCACUUUAUAUACUGAGCAUGCUGUUCUAUGGUAUGGAAUACCCCUUUGGCUAGUUCAGGUCCUGGCUGUGCUCCCUCCAUCUUCUUGUGCCCCUCCUCACUGACAGAGCAAGAGACUGAAAAGUCCUUGAUCAGGAUAAGUGAUAUUUAGCAAGAACUAAAACAUCUGUGUGUUAUCAGCAUUAUUCUCAGACUAUAGCCAAAACACAGCACAGCUACUAGGAGGAAGAUUAACUAUCCAUACAAAUAUAGAGUUCUGCAUUGCUGAUGAUGUGUGAUUUCCACACAUACAAUUAAUAUAUUGAUAAAAAGAAAGGGUUGACCUUAAUCAUUCUAAUAAGGCCCUUCAUGGGAGACUGUGAACGCUCAAACUGUAAGUUUAUGUCUAUCCGUCCUUCAGACUGAAGUGUCACGCAGAAGCACUCGGCUAGCUCAGGUACCAGAGGUGAUCUACCUGGGAGAUCCAGGGCUCCUCAGAGGCUCAUGCACCCCGUGGCCCUGCAGGGAAGUUGAGCUGUGUGGAGAGUCUGUGUUGCAGUUAGACUACAGGAGCUUGCUCCAUGUUGCUGUCCUGCAUACUCUGAUAUUAUGCUGGGUCAAAUCCUGACCAUGCUGGCCUGUGAAGUCCUGUUUCUCUAGCUUUCAUCCUGGAGAAAGUUUAACGAUUUCUUUCAACCCACUUUUCUCUCCCAGAUCUGUUUAGGGGGUCUCUUGCAGGGCUGUGGUAGAUACAGUGAUUACCAACAGGCUGGAUGCACUGAGCAGUAAAAUGAUAUCCCCACAUAAAAGCUAGGCGAAGUCAGAGGAAUGUGAAGAACUACAGAAGGGUGAUUCAUUAGGUGUACAGUCACGAUAGUGCUAAUACAUGUAUCUUAAUACUCCUAAUGGAGAGAAGAGCACAGCUCAGUUUUAGUACAGUGUAUUAAAAGUAUGCAUUUAUAGUGGUUGAGGGACCCAUAACAUUACUGUGUGCUCAAAUCUAUGCUUGCAAAAAGCAAAUGCAACAUUACAGUGAGGAAGAAACUGCGUAUUGAAGGGUAUGGAAGGUGUACCUGCCUCUGCAAAUGGACCGUGAUGUCUCCUUUGGAGGGCACUGCACACAACAGUCACUGUUAUCUCAAAAUAAAUAUUGCCAGCCACUGAGUACUUUCUAAGUCUGUAAGUAACAUACUCAAGGGUAGAGAAAAAGUAAUUGAAGAGAAAAUAGGAAGAUAAAUUAUGCCUUCUUAAAUGAGAUAGACUGUAAGAGCACAGGAAAUAGCAGGUGCUAAAGAUUGAAAGCUUCUUUGAGUAUUGUAAUGGAAGGAUGCAGCAGAUUAAAUAAAAAGGUAAAUAGUUUAAGAUUUACAAAAAGAUACUCAGUUGAAUCUUUUAAUAUAUAAUGAUGUAAGUUACAUAACAUUUGAAAAACACCAUUCUGGCUGAGAAUUUAGAAUGAUUUGUAUUGUAUUAAAUAUGUAAGUAGCGAAGAAUCAUAGAAGAUAUAAUACCGGCAGAUAAGGUGUGUGAAGUUCGGAAUUGUCAGGUUGUGAGGAUGUUUUUUAACUAUUGCAAGUCAAGCUGGAAUUACUCUGUCUGCACCUACUGAUGAGUUUGUGUGCUUUCCUCCCAGGUCUGACCUGGGCCUGGCCCAGAAGCAAAGCCUAGCAGUGUGCAUCCUGCCUCUGCCCGCCUGUGCUUAGCUCUGCUGUUAAAGCUGUACUGAGCAGAGUGGAAAUCAUGACUAUAAAGAUGAUGCAAGAAAUCUGAAGUUCCUGUCUCCUGAAAGUUUUUGUCACAGUUGCUAAAAGCCUUUUACUCAGUUUUAAAUAUUCUGUCAGUUCAGAAACUUUCUAUACCACUGGAUGAGGAAUGAUUUCAUUUCUUUACAGUGGCAGUGCUGCAAGGGUCAGCUGUCAGAUUUUCAGUAGUUGCAGUCUCUGCAGAAAGAUGAGGAAUAUAUUGGAAAAUAUGUAAUUAGGGCUUAGUAUCAGAUACAUAAAAAACAAGCAAUGGAAGGGGCUUUAACGUAUUGAGCAACAGAGGUGUUAAAAGCUGUUGAAUUUCAGCUCACUUGAGUUACUGUGAAUGGGGAGCUAGUACAGAAGCAGCUAAAAUUGGCCUGAAAGGGCAUUUGGAUAAGUUGCGUGUUACCAGUGAAGAUGUCAAGUAAUCUUCAGCAAAAUGAGGGUUCCCCUCCUUAGAGCCCCUAACAAGUGAAGUGCAUUUUCUGUGUGCUUUGCUGGGCCAUGUAUUUGUCCUUUAAUCCUGAAGAGAAAUGCUUAUAACUUGAUUUCACUUUAGAAAGGAAAGAGAAAUGUAUUCCUGAAGUUUUUGAGGUGUAUUUUUUUGUUCUACAGACAUUGACGAAAACAUUUCAAGUAGAGGGUCUACGCUCAGAGGCAUGUUGUCCACCUUGCUUCACUGUGCUGUGUUCAGCUUGUUAAGGUUUCUGUGAAUAUGGAAUUGCUUUUGCUAUAUAACUGGGGAAAAUGGAAGAUUAAAAAGUGUAGUCUGUCACAGAGUGUUGAUUGUAACUUGUUAAAACCAAAUUAUAUACUUCACAUGGAGGUAGAUUCAAGAUGGGAAAAACCUCAGGCUGGUAAACUAUCGUAAGACACAUUCAGUUGUAUAUCUUUAGUAGUGCUGUAAUGUAAAUCUGAGUGUGUUUUAAGGACUUUAAGAAUCCAGGUUGGCAUUUAACUGUCUUCCAGGAAUAAUUCUAUUCUUUCCAAGUACAGAACUUUCCUCCCUGAGAUUGACCGGACACAGGCAAAUUCCUUGUGUCCUCAUUUCAGCUUGCUGUCUCUUUCUUCAGCGCACUGCUUAGCAAGCAACUGAGUUGUGAGGAGUUGUGGUAGUGAAGGCUCAUCAUUACUGGUCUUGCCUGGCAGCUCUGGUAUUAGGUGAAACCAGAAGGUCCUGAUUCUGUUUGAAGGCUGAAGAGGAUGUCAUCCAAAACCUAACAGCUUCUUAAGUGCAACUUUGAACUCUGUAAAGUACACAUCCUCACUUUCUGGGAAACCCAGUGUGUGGUUUAGUUUUAUUCUCUGUUUUUUUCAUAGAAACAGUUAAUGGACUUUUUGUAGCUGGUGAACUAGUGUGCAGGGUUGAGGCUUCACAAAUGCACCUUUACUAAAAGGUGAGCUUUCAGAAAGACUGCACAAACCUGUGUCAUUGGAGGUCUUACGUUGUCAGUACAGUUAUCAUUUAACUUUCAUAGGUUUGCUGUUGCAAUUAAGAGUAAAUACCUCCUUUUGCUUGGAAAUGCUUUUUCAGUUCCAUUUCUGCAAGUGUUUCACUGUGGUCAGGCAAGCUGCAUGUGAAGCUAUUUUCUAGAUAUUAAUGUGUUUGUUUCAAACUGCUAUUUGAGAGUCUUCUUGAGCCAUAGCAAAGGCUAAAUUAAAAUGCAUAACAAUGUACUUUCAACAAACUGAUUACUUUUUAAUUGCCUCUUACUUUAUUUAGGUUUUCUUGUGUUAAAUGAAGGACUCUUAGAAAAACAGGUUGGUUUGGUUACUGCCUUGAACGUCUCCAUUCCUACGCUGAAAAGAUUAUGCAAGGUAUUUACUGGAGGGUGGGAAGAUGACACGUAGUUGACUCAGGGUUGUGUCAGCUGGUGCAGAACAUCUCCCAACUCUGAAUCUGCCAUGGUUUAGCCAUAGAAAGCAUUUACCAAAUAAUGUGUAUGCCUAGAACAGGUCACUUUCUAGGAAUCUAGGUGGAGAGCGAACAUCAAUGAUAAUACAUUUGCAUGCAACCACAAGUGAUAAAGCUUGUGUGGUUUCUGGGGUUGGGGUCCCAGUGGGAUGUGGUAGCUGACCAUGAGUGCUGCAGGCCAUUGCAAGUGAAGAGGAGAUGAUGUUGGCUUAAUGGCUUCAUGCAUCUUUCCAGGCUGAUAGAAGGGUGAAUCUGGUCUUUUACUCUGCCUUCCUUAAGGGCAGGUUAUUUGGAAAUAAUUUAAAGCAUUUGUGAUUGUAUGGCCAUAGUCUUUUACAUGUAGAUUUGGUUUUAUUCCUUUUGAAUCUCCUGAGAAAGUGUCAGGGAGGAGCUGUCAUUUAUUUGGCCCUGAACUUGCUUUCUGUAGUGGCUGAGGUGCUGCUUUUCUGUUGCACCUCCGAGCUUUAGCAUAGGGAUAAAACAUUUUAGAAGGCAGUGAUGCUGUUAGACAGGGUGGUUUGUUGUAAAGUGACCAGUCAUCUCCCAUGAUAAUUUUAUUUUCUGUGACGUGCAUAAUAUCUUUAAUAUUACAUGCUUCUCUUUUGGCACCUCCUUUUGCCACUCAUGCUCCUGUAGUGCUCACAAGUGAGCAGUUAUUGUGAAAGUAGGAUUAAUUUACGUUAACUUUUCCUGUGUGAUAGGAGCCAGUGCACGAUAUGACUAGCUAGCUCUCUGUAGACCUCAGACUUGUCAGAACUCUGCCAUCCUGUCUGACUCUUGUGGCUCUGAUUCAUGCUGAAUCAGAGCAGCUGGAUCUGGGGAGGGCUCA